CGAAAGGGUGACGAAGCGACGCCGCGUGUGGGAAGAAGGCCUUCGGGUUGUAAACCACUGUCAGGAGUUAAGAAGUGUAAGGAUGCGAAUAGCGUCUUUACUUGACUAAGGCUCCAGAGGAAGCCACGGCUAACUCUGUGCCAGCAGCCGCGGUAAUACAGAGGUGGCAAGCGUUGUUCGGAAUUAUUGGGCGUAAAGAGCACGUAGGCGGUUCUGCAAGUCGGCUGUGAAAGCCUUCCGCUCAACGGAAGAACAGCAGUUGAUACUACAGGACUAGAGUGCGGGAGGGGAGAGUGGAACUUCUGGUGGAGCGGUGAAAUGCGUAGAUACCAGAAGGAACGCCGGCGGCGAAAGCGACUCUCUGGCCCGUAACUGACGCUGAGUGUGCGAAAGCUAGGGGAGCAAACGGGAUUAGAUACCCCGGUAGUCCUAGCCGU
rnacentral:rRNA from 1 species